rnacentral:rRNA from 1 species
UGGAUCCAGACUUUGAUUAUGGCUCAGGAUGAACGCUAGCUACAGGCUUAACACAUGCAAGUCGAGGGGAAACGACAUCGAAAGCUUGCUUUUGAUGAGCGUCGACCGGCGCACGGGUGAGUAACGCGUAUCCAACCUGCCCACCACUUGGGGAUAACCUUGCGAAAGUAAGACUAAUACCCAAUGACGUCUCUAGAAGACAUCUGAAAGAGAUUAAAGAUUUAUCGGUGAUGGAUGGGGAUGCGUCUGAUUAGCUUGUUGGCGGGGUAACGGCCCACCAAGGCUACGAUCAGUAGGGGUUCUGAGAGGAAGGUCCCCCACAUUGGAACUGAGACACGGUCCAAACUCCUACGGGAGGCAGCAGUGAGGAAUAUUGGUCAAUGGACGAGAGUCUGAACCAGCCAAGUAGCGUGCAGGAUGACGGCCCUAUGGGUUGUAAACUGCUUUUAUAAGGGAAUAAAGUGAGUCUCGUGAGGCUUUUUGCAUGUACCUUAUGAAUAAGGACCGGCUAAUUCCGUGCCAGCAGCCGCGGUAAUACGGAAGGUCCGGGCGUUAUCCGGAUUUAUUGGGUUUAAAGGGAGCGUAGGCCGGAGAUUAAGCGUGUUGUGAAAUGUAGAUGCUCAACAUCUGCACUGCAGCGCGAACUGGUUUCCUUGAGUACGCACAAAGUGGGCGGAAUUCGUGGUGUAGCGGUGAAAUGCUUAGAUAUCACGAAGAACUCCGAUUGCGAAGGCAGCUCACUGGAGCGCAACUGACGCUGAAGCUCGAAAGUGCGGGUAUCGAACAGGAUUAGAUACCCUGGUAGUCCGCACGGUAAACGAUGGAUGCCCGCUGUUGGUCUGAAUAGGUCAGCGGCCAAGCGAGAGCAUUAAGCAUCCCACCUGGGGAGUACGCCGGCAACGGUGCAACUCAAAGGAAGUGACGGA